CACAGGCCAGAUCGAAGCUGUAGUAGACUUUCGUUUACUCCAGUCAAAACUUGGCCAACAAUAAUGUUUCACUUAAGGUCACUUGGAGACUUUUGUCUUACAAGUAUUACCCAAAGGGAAUACAUUG